UACGUAGGGGGCGAGCGUUGUCCGAAUUUACUGGGCGUAAAGCGCGCGUAGGCGGUUUAAUAAGUUGGUGGUGAAAAUCCGAGGCUCAACCUCGGACGUGCUUCCAAUACUGUUAGACUGGAGGUAUGAAUGGGGAAGUGGAAUUCCAGGUGUAGCGGUGAAAUGCGUAGAUAUCUGGAGGAACACCGGUGGCGAAGGCGGCUUCCUGGUCAUAUCCUGACGCUGAGGUGCGAAAGCUAGGGGAGCGAACGGGAUUAGAUACCCCGGUAGUCCUAGCCGUAAACGAUGGAUACUAGGUGUAUGAGGUAUCGACCCCUCAUGUGCCGAAGCUAACGCAUUAAGUAUCCCGCCUGGGGAGUACGGCCGCAAGGUUGAA
rnacentral:rRNA from 1 species